UGAGAAUGGGUCUGUUUUGCUUUGAACCAUCCACCACAAACAUGGACAAUGUUCGAGAUGUGUGCACAUACUAGUCCCUGCAAACCAGUUCCAGGGGGAUGUUAAGUGAUGUGGCAAACCCUUGCAAAUCACUUUUGUGAAGAUUCGCUUAAGGGAUGGAGACCUGAAAGAUGCAUCAACACACAACUGCAGAGCAACCCAAGAGAUGGAUCAUUUUCUUUUGCAUAGACUAGUAGGGGAAGUGGAGAGCAGCAAGAGGGACAUAUGAAUUUCUAUUGAUAAUGCAGUGAGAAUUGUAGGAUUUAAAGGAAUUCAAGGAGUAAGAAUGAUAGAAUUAUACAUUGUGUAAUAUAGGUAAG